UUCUCAGGCCCAGGUUUUUGGAUAUAAAAAUAAUCUUUUAUCGAACAAAACAAACAUGUAUUGUGUAACUGGGAGUCUCAUGAGUGCAAACAUCCGAAGAUCAUCAAAGGUGAUUCCGAUUAAUCUGUGAUUGAUCAAGGACGAGAGUCAGAGAGGCCUGCCAAAACAACAUCACAGCCAGAUACAUAUGUGUCAGGUGUGACGUCAAAGAGAAGAAGAGGUAACUCGGCAACGGCUAACUGGUCUUCUCAACACCAGACCAUUUUGGAGGGAAUGGCAGCAGAAAAAGACAUGGCUGGAGGCGCAGAUAGUGCAGAGCCAGGGGGGGGAGGAGUGGCUCAUCUCUUUGAUUGUGGAGUCCAAUGCACAUACCACAGAGCAUGUGGUGCCUCUGCUGCUUGAAGGCUUCCGAAGCAUCCAGCCACCACCACCGCCCCAGCCAAUGUUUGUCCCAUCUCCCUAUCAAGCACAAUUUAAUUUAACACACCUCCCCAAAACUACCAAAUGCAUGCCAAUCCUGCCUCAAGCACAACUGUCUUUGACCAACCAGCUGAUGAAGAAGAAACAAAAUACUUCCAAGACUUAGUUCCAACACGUAGUUCCUAACAUGUUGUUGCUCAGUUCAGUUUAGGGGCUAAUAGUUGGCUCUGAAGUUCACGAGCAAGUCCCUAAAAGUUUAUUUCUGUUGAACUGGUCUGAUGGAAAUGUUUAUCUUUGUGUUUUUCAAAUAACCAAUUUCUGUGUUCAUGCAAGUGGCUGAUUGAAUGUGCCUGUCAGGAGUCCUCACUAUUAGUAUCUGCAAUUUGGCAGUACACCCAGAACCUUGUUUUGAGAACGAAAUAUAUCUCAGUUUCAAGGUCUCAGCUUAUAGGGAGUAAGCCUUGUGAGGUAUUUGUCUGUAGGCAUUUAUAAGAGAAGUGUCUACGUGGUCUGCAGUCACUGGUAGAGAAUAGCAUAAAGUGCACUAGGUGCUAUUCUAUAUGUAUAGUGAAGCUACAUAUGGUGCAUAGGAAGUAGCGACAAAGAAUCGUUGAAGAUGCAUAUUGAGUAAUAAGGGUGAUUAUUGAGUGUGUUUGGGAAUAGUACUAAGUGAAUGAGGAUGUGAACGUUGUGUGAUUAUGAGAUGUGACAGAUUAAACUGAUUGAAAUUUGGAUAAUAAGCUGAUUGAGACUUGUAUAAUAAGAAAUUGUAAUUUGAUAAUAAGCUGAUUGAAAUUUGGAUAAUAAACUGAUUGAAAUGUAGCUAUUAAAUAGAGAGUGAAUAAGAGCGGUCAUGGGACUAGCUCCAGUGAGAAAGAUGUUUGAAUGGAUACCCCAACCAGUUCUGUGUGGGCUGAGUAUUUCUAUCUAUAACGUUAUCUAGGGGUUCUGUCCACCACUGCCCAUCGUAGUCUGGGACUACUAACAAUAGCAUGAGUGUUAUUGAGCAGCCACACUUUUGGCUUUCUCUCAACCAGCUUGGAAUGCAUUUCAAUUAACAGGUAUGCCUUGUUAAAAGUGCAUUUCUGGACUUUAUUUUCUUCUUAAUGGUUUGAGACAAUCAGUUGUGUUGUGACAAGGUAGGGGUGGUAUACAGAAGAUAGCCCUAGAAAAUAGUAAAAAUAAGUAAGUAAACAGGUAGGCAGCGCAGAAGUACAGUGUGUGUGUGUGUGUGUGUGUGUCUGUAAAUUUAGCCUUUCUGGAUACAAUUAACGUGAGGAGGCAUGAUGACCAUGGAAUGCUAGGUAAGCAGGUAGACCACUGUGUGGGUGUGUGUGUUUACCAACCUUUGGGAGUAGGUGAGCCUUCUCAAACUGAGUCGAUUGUCUCACUACAUUUGCAUCAUGUGCACUCCCAGGCAGUUUGCGUCUGAUGUUCCAAAUGCUGUGUCAGAUUACACAUGUACAGAUAUAUUAGACAUUCAAAGUACUUAAUUCACAUGAAUUGAAACAGGGGUAAACCUUACCAAUAGGUAUCAUCAACAAUCCCUUGAAGAACAUAGGAAGGCCAGCCUUUGCUGCGCCCGGGGCGGAGGCUUCUCUCCAUCAUGCCACAUAGCUUCUGAAAGGAUCUUCAGGGCAUGCGAAAGUUCUCUCCAUUCUACAUCAGUAUAUUCUAUGAGGACCACUCUCUCACGCCAAUCCUUUACUGCGAACUCGCAUCCAACACCCAUGAGUGGUCUGGGGUGGCAAGAAUGGUACCUCUCCAACCAUGAUAACAAAGGAAGAUUUCUCUGCUGUAUGAGGGAAUGACGGCGUCUUCUGCUUUUCGCCAACGUUGAGAAUAAUAACGUUUGAUUUAGCUCGUUUUGUAAUAGUUGUAAGAAAACCGCGAAAAACAAUUACUAACAAGUAGCUAUACUUCAGGCUAUUCCAUUAAAACAACUAGAGACAAUGCACACAUUGUAACAAAAAUGUUCAAUCUUAAUUGCCGCAUUUCAAACUGUCCUUUUGUGAGGGGCAGCCGGGAACCAGUUCUGUGGGGUCAAUAAACCAGAAUUGGAGGAUCCUUAAUAAUCGUUUAAAUCUCCAGUUUGGAGACAUUUUGGGUGCCAAGUAAAUUACAACGGUGAUGGACAGAGAGUUGUGGAUAAAACGUUAACAGAUUGUCACCACGCUCAACAAGAAUAGCCUAUGCAUCUGCCAACACCUCAGACAUGUUGACAGAUUUAGGCCGACAUCACCCCAGUAUACCGGAGCAAGACGGAAACGCAAAGAAACAACAAUCCCAACAUCUUCUCCCCUCUGCAUUGAAGCAGCCCUUGGCAUCUGAUCUGACUGGGCCAAAAAAUUCUAAGAGCGAUAGGUAGGCUAUGUUUUCAUGUUUUACCCUCUUUGGUUUAAAGCAGCGGAUGUGCGCCUAUUCUCGGUGGUUGAGAAUAAGGGUUUCAGCUCGAGCCACUUUACGACCUUCCUUCUUGCACCCAUUUCUGCAAACAGGUAGUACCCACUCUAUAUCAGGAAACCAAAGCUUAAGUUUUCAAUGAAUUGUCCAAUGCGCUUACAGUGCGCUUACAGUGACAGCCAAUCACAUUAACCCGGAGUGGGAGAUGUACCAUGUUAGAGACACGCCCCCUUUAAGAGAAUCACAAAUGCGCAUCUGCCACUGAAGGAGGCAGUGUCAUUGAGCGUUCGUAAGCCACGUGGGAAUUUACCACAUACCACUGGGGGAAAAAAUCCACUUGAAUAGUGGUAAUUAAUAGUGUGAAACACAUCUAUCAUCCUAAGCACACACUUCUCCCACAUGGUGACCUCUGACAUUACCUACUAAGUAAAUGGCCCCUAUAACAGCAUUCUAGGCAGUUAAAUGCAACAACAAAACACAAAAGGAAGUCUAUAGUAUUAAUGUGGUUUUUGCACUCUAUACAUUUUUUUUUGCAAGCAUUGUAGUAGUACUUUAAGUUUACAGUUGACACAGUUUUGUUGGCCAUUAGCCAAUUUGCGUUUCUCAAUGUGUUCAAAUCACAUGAAUGCAUCCAACUGAUAUUUAAGACUUCACAACUGGUAAAAGCCCACCUCCCACAUGGUUACAAACGCAGCAUCGGUAGUGGACACUUGAGAGGCCCAACAUAACAAUCCGGUAACAACAGACAAUGCAAGCACCAUGGUGAAUGCUGAACAUGGUGAAUGACAUUUCAUUUUCCCAUUGUGCCAAAACCGAACUGACCACAAAACGUACCUAACCAUGGGUUUGGUGAACCGUUACAAUAUCUACUGUACUUCCAUCUGUUGGAGUUCUGUUUCUCUACUGAAAGAAUUUAAAAUGUUGCUUGAAGACGAUUACUGCAGUGCCAUUGGUUACAUUGUUCAUUUGAAAUACUUUUUACAUUUUAAAGUUAAGUAUCUGUUUUAACUUUACAAGAUAGAUCAUUAAAGCUUUCAAUGUCAAAUGUUUCCGGGGCAAAAAAUGAUUUCAAAUAAAGAUCACGGCAUAAGUAACAAAA